rnacentral:rRNA from 1 species
GCGGCCUAACACAUGCAAGUCGAGCGGUAGCGCAGAGUAGCUUGCUAUUUUGGCGGCGAGCGGCGGACGGGUGAGUAAUGUCUGGGAAACUGCCUGAUGGAGGGGGAUAACUACUGGAAACGGUAGCUAAUACCGCAUAACGUCGCAAGACCAAAGAGGGGGACCUUCGGGCCUCUUGCCAUCAGAUGUGCCCAGAUGGGAUUAGCUAGUAGGUGGGGUAACGGCUCACCUAGGCGACGAUCCCUAGCUGGUCUGAGAGGAUGACCAGCCACACUGGAACUGAGACACGGUCCAGACUCCUACGGGAGGCAGCAGUGGGGAAUAUUGCACAAUGGGCGCAAGCCUGAUGCAGCCAUGCCGCGUGUAUGAAGAAGGCCUUCGGGUUGUAAAGUACUUUCAGCGGGGAGGAAGGCGAUGAGGUUAAUAACCUUGUCGAUUGACGUUACCCGCAGAAGAAGCACCGGCUAACUCCGUGCCAGCAGCCGCGGUAAUACGGAGGGUGCAAGCGUUAAUCGGAAUUACUGGGCGUAAAGCGCACGCAGGCGGUCUGUCAAGUCGGAUGUGAAAUCCCCGGGCUCAACCUGGGAACUGCAUUCGAAACUGGCAGGCUAGAGUCUUGUAGAGGGGGGUAGAAUUCCAGGUGUAGCGGUGAAAUGCGUAGAGAUCUGGAGGAAUACCGGUGGCGAAGG